UGUCCCCCCACUCGCGGCUCAACCCCCACCGGAGCCCCCUCGGGACGGGAAACUACGACGUGAAUGCCGUCAUGGCUGCCCUGGGCACCCUGGGGCUGGCGGCCGUCUGGUGGGACAAGAGACGGUCGUUCCUGCGGUCGCUGCUGUCGAGCGGCCCCUCCGAGCUGUUCCUGGUGGUGCCGCGGGAGGUGGAGGCGGCGGGGACCUGGCUGAGCCCCGAGUGACGUCAGCGGUGACGUCACCCACGACCCGCUGUGGGGCCA